CACAUACAAUGUGGCGAAUCUGAUAUCGGAGGCCCUUGUGGUGUUUGUUUGCUCCACCACAGGGCAAGGUGAUCCUCCAGACAACAUGAAGUACAGAAAAUGCAGC